UAGGGAAUCUUCGGCAAUGGGGGGAACCCUGACCGAGCAACGCCGCGUGAGUGAAGAAGGUUUUCGGAUCGUAAAGCUCUGUUGUUAAGGAAGAAUGAGUGUGAGAAUGGAAAGUUCAUACUGUGACGGUACUUAACCAGAAAGGGACGGCUAACUACGUGCCAGCAGCCGCGGUAAUACGUAGGUCCCGAGCGUUGUCCGGAUUUAUUGGGCGUAAAGCGAGCGCAGGCGGUUAGAAAAGUCUGAAGUGAAAGGCAGUGGCUCAACCACUGUAGGCUUUGGAAACUGUUUAACUUGAGUGCAGAAGGGGAGAGUGGAAUUCCAUGUGUAGCGGUGAAAUGCGUAGAUAUAUGGAGGAACACCGGUGGCGAAAGCGGCUCUCUGGUCUGUAACUGACGCUGAGGCUCGAAAGCGUGGGGAGCGAACAGGAUUAGAUACCCUGGUAGUCCACGCCGUAACGAUGAGUGCUAGGUGUUAGGUCCUUUCCGGGACUUAGUGCCGCAGCUAACGCAUUAAGCACUUCGCCUGGGGAGUACGACCGCAAGGUUG
rnacentral:rRNA from 1 species